rnacentral:tRNA from 11 species
GUCCCCGUUGCAUAACUGGAUAAUGCAGUCCCCUCCUAAGGGAUAGCUCGCGGUUCGAGUCCGUGCGGGGACGCCA